rnacentral:rRNA from 1 species
GACGAACGCUGGCGGCGUGCUUAACACAUGCAAGUCGAACGGAAAGGCCCUGCUUUUGUGGGGUGCUCGAGUGGCGAACGGGUGAGUAACACGUGAGUAACCUGCCCUUGACUUUGGGAUAACUUCAGGAAACUGGGGCUAAUACCGGAUAGGCGCUCCUGCUGCAUGGGGGGGGUUGGAAAGUUUCGGCGGUUGGGGAUGGACUCGCGGCUUAUCAGCUUGUUGGUGGGGUAGUGGCUUACCAAGGCUUUGACGGGUAGCCGGCCUGAGAGGGUGACCGGCCACAUUGGGACUGAGAUACGGCCCAGACUCCUACGGGAGGCAGCAGUGGGGAAUAUUGCACAAUGGGCGGAAGCCUGAUGCAGCAACGCCGCGUGCGGGAUGACGGCCUUCGGGUUGUAAACCGCUUUCGCCUGUGACGAAGCGUGAGUGACGGUAAUGGGUAAAGAAGCACCGGCUAACUACGUG